AGAGUUUGAUCCUGGCUCAGAAUGAACGCUGGCGGCGUGCUUAACACAUGCAAGUCGCACGAGAACGCUUCAGCUUGCUGAAGUUAGUAAAGUGGCGUACGGGUGAGUAACGCGUGGGUAAUCUACCCCCGAAUUGGGAAUAACUCCGCGAAAGUGGAGCUAAUACCGGAUAACAUCUCUAAUACUUCGGUGUUUGAGAUCAAAGGUGGCCUCUACAUGUAAGCUAUCGUUUGGGGAUGAGCCCGCGUACCAUUAGCUUGUUGGUAGGGUAAUGGCCUACCAAGGCCGCGAUGGUUAGCUGGUCUGAGAGGAUGAUCAGCCACACUGGAACUGACACACGGUCCAGACUCCUACGGGAGGCAGCAGUGAGGAAUUUUGCGCAAUGGGGGAAACCCUGACGCAGCAACGCCGCGUGAGUGAUGAAGGCUUUCGGGUCGUAAAGCUCUGUCAAGUGGGAAGAACCUGCAAAAUGCUAAUAUCAUUUUGCACUGACGGUACCACUGAAGAAGCACCGCUAACU
rnacentral:rRNA from 1 species